rnacentral:rRNA from 1 species
AUUGAACGCUGGCGGCAGACCUAACACAUGCAAGUCGAGCGGAAGAAGGGAGCUUGCUCCUGGAUUCAGCGGCGGACGGGUGAGUAAAGCCUAGGAAUCUGCCUGGUUGUGGGGGGUAACGUCCGGAAACGGGCGCUAAUACCGCCUACGUCCUGAGGGAGAAAGUGGGGGAGCUUCGGACCUCACGCUAUCAGGUGAGCCUAGGUCGGGUUAGCUAGUUGGUGGGGUAAAGGCCUACCAAGGCGACGAUCCGUAACUGGUCUGAGAGGAUGAUCAGUCACACUGGAACUGAGACACGGUCCAGACUCCUACGGGAGGCAGCAGUGGGGAAUAUUGGACAAUGGGCGAAAGCCUGAUCCAGCCAUGCCGCGUGUGUGAAGAAGGUCUUCGGAUUGUAAAGCACUUUAAGUUGGGAGGAAGGGCAGUAAGUUAAUACCUUGCUGUUUUGACGUUACCAACAGAAUAAGCACCGGCUAACUUCGUG